rnacentral:rRNA from 1 species
UACAAAGGGAGCUAGCGUUGUUCGGAAUCACUGGGCGUAAAGCGCACGUAGGCGGAUUUGCCAGUCAGGGGUGAAAUCCCGGGGCUCAACCUCGGAACUGCCUUUGAUACAGCAAGUCUUGAGUUCGAGAGAGGUGGGUGGAAUUCCUAGUGUAGAGGUGAAAUUCGUAGAUAUUAGGAAGAACACCGGUGGCGAAGGCGGCCCACUGGCUCGACACUGACGCUGAGGUGCGAAAGCGUGGGGAGCAAACAGG